AUGGAGCGCGAGACCCUAACCGAACGACAGCUCCAACUACCAAUGAAACGACGCACAGGAACCAGCCGCCCGUCCGGAAACUUGAGUGACUGCAGCUUGCACCAAUCCCGACAGAGCGCGGGCUCCGCCCCUUCUCCUCACAGCGGUUGCCAUGGCACCGAGCGCCCCAGGCCCACAGCGCAGGGCGAGGCCCGGGGCCUUUCGGCACCGCCGGCGUCUCCCCCGGGGACCUCGGGCUCCUCGGCAGCCACCGGCGAGGCCUGCGGUGCGGACGCGGCUCCCCGAGGCCCGGCCCGUGUUGGCACAGCGCUCCGCAGGUGGAAGGCCGAGGGCUGCGCUGCCCAGGCGGAACGAUCCCUGCCUGCGAUGCCUGCUUUGUUUUUGGGGGUGAGAACGGGCCCCUCCCCAUCUCACAGCGUCGGAGGCCUCACGCAGCAUCAGCUCGCACAGCUGCAGCAAAAAGACGACGACCUCAUCCUCACCUGCACCCCGCAGCCCUAUGGGACGUCCCGACAGAACCCUCAGCCGACAGCGGGCUGGAAAUUGAUCAAAGAAACGAACACGGAGCCGAACAUCCCUACCUGGGAGCAGUGCACGAAGCACGGGAUGAAGACCAGACGGGGUGGCAGCAAUGGAUCCAAGCAGCUCGGUGGCAUGGACUCGCUCUGCCCCAGCCUCACUAAUCUGCAAAACAACCAGCAAACACCUACGAAAGCUGGGGUGCGGCCCCAGCCCACGUCGUGCUGCAAGCCACAAUCCGAUGAGGUAAUGGUGGCAGGCAAGGAGGGCACAGCCUCACAGCAAGAGCACACCAAACCCUACAGCUGCUAUAGGCUCCCAGUGGGGCUGGAGAGCACGAGGACAACGCUGUGCCCUGUGGGGAACAGGAGUGCAUCAGAGAGGCUUGAAACCCCUCCUCGUGCCUCCCCAUGGGAUGGGGGUGGGCAGUGGGGGCCAAGGGUGCUGUCAGCAGCAACUUGA
rnacentral:lncRNA from 1 species